rnacentral:rRNA from 1 species
AGAGUUUGAUCCUGGCUCAGAUUGAACGCUGGCGGCGUGCUUAACACAUGCAAGUCGAACGGAUUCAUAUUGAAGUAGCAAUACGGAGAUAUGAGUUAGUGGCGGACGGGUGAGUAACACGUAGGUAACCUACCCUUAAGCGGGGGACAACUCAGGGAAACUUGAGCUAAUACCGCAUAAGACCACGGGCUGAGAUGCCAGUGGGAAAAGGAGCAAUCCACUUAAGGAUGGGCCUGCGGCCUAUCAGGUAGUUGGUGAGGUAACGGCCCACCAAGCCAGAGACGGGUAGCCGGGCUGAGAGGUUGAACGGCCACACUGGAACUGAGAUACGGUCCAGACUCCUACGGGAGGCAGCAGUGGGGAAUAUUGCGCAAUGGGGGAAACCCUGACGCAGCGACGCCGCGUGGAGGAUGAAGGCCUUCGGGUUGUAAACUCCUUUUGUAGGGGAAGAUAAUGACGGUACCCUGCGAAUAAGCCACGGCUAACUCUGUGCCAGCAGCCGCGGUAAGACAGAGGAGGCGAGCGUUGUUCGGAAUUACUGGGCUUAAAGGGCGAGUAGGCGGUGGAGCAAGUCUGAGGUGGAAUCCUACGGCUUAACCGUAGAACUGCCUUAGAAACUGUUUUACUUGAGUCAGUGAGGGGAGGGCGGAAUUCCUGGUGUAGCGGUGAAAUGCGUAGAUAUCACGAGGAAGGCCUGUGGCGAAAGUGGCCCUCUGGCACUGUACUGACGCUGAGGCGCGAAAGCGUGGGGAGCAAACAGGAUUAGAUACCCUGGUAG